CACUGUCUGUAAUGAGCCCUCUAUUUUCUUAACACACUAGAGAGCUCAUUUAUUGAUCGUGGG
rnacentral:pre_miRNA from 1 species